rnacentral:rRNA from 1 species
CUCUGUUAUUUAUAAUUAACAGUAAAAUCUGCUCAAUGAAAAUUAAAUAGCCGCAAUUCGUGCUAAGGUAGCAUAAUAAUUUGUCUUUUAAAUAAAGACCAGAACAAAAGAUUUAACAUUUAAAUUUUCUUAUAAACUUUAAUAAUCCAAUCUAUCCUUAAUGUAAAAAGACAUUAAUUCUUAUGAAAGACGACAAGACCCUAUCGAACUUAACUUCAGUUAAACUGGGGCAGUAAAUCAAUUAAUAUUUUAAUUUUAUUAAAUAUCCCAAUAUCCAACCUAAUUGAAUAACUCAGUUACCAUAGGGAUAACAGCGCAAUUGUAUUCUCAAGCCCAUAUAUAAAAUACAGUUUACGACCUCGAUGUUGAAUUAAUUACCUAAUUUAAGCAAAUUUUUAAAAAGGAAGUCUGUUCGACUUUUAAAAAAUUACA